rnacentral:rRNA from 1 species
GUGGGGAAUAUUGCACAAUGGGCGCAAGCCUGAUGCAGCAACGCCGCGUGAGGGAUGACGGCCUUCGGGUUGUAAACCUCUUUUAGUAGGGAAGAAGCGAAAGUGACGGUACCUGCAGAAAAAGCACCGGCUAACUACGUGCCAGCAGCCGCGGUAAUACGUAGGGUGCAAGCGUUGUCCGGAAUUAUUGGGCGUAAAGAGCUCGUAGGCGGCUUGUCGCGUCUGCUGUGAAAUCCCGGGGCUCAACCCCGGGCCUGCAGUGGGUACGGGCAGGCUAGAGGGCGGUAGGGGAGAUUGGAAAUCCUGGUGUAGCGGUGGAAUGCGCAGAUAUCAGGAGGAACACCGAUGGCGAAGGCAGAUCUCUGGGCCGCUACUGACGCUGAGGAGCGAAAGCAUGGGGAGCGAACGGGAUUAGAUACCCCUGUAGUCC